AUGAACGCUAGCUACAGGCUUAACACAUGCAAGUCGAGGGGCAGCAUUUUAGUUUGCUUGCAAACUGAAGAUGGCGACCGGCGCACGGGUGAGUAACACGUAUCCAACCUGCCGAUAACUCCGGAAUAGCCUUUCGAAAGAAAGAUUAAUACCGGAUGGCAUACGAAUAUCGCAUGAUAUUUUUAUUAAAGAAUUUCGGUUAUCGAUGGGGAUGCGUUCCAUUAGUUUGUUGGCGGGGUAACGGCCCACCAAGACUACGAUGGAUAGGGGUUCUGAGAGGAAGGUCCCCCACAUUGGAACUGAGACACGGUCCAAACUCCUACGGGAGGCAGCAGUGAGGAAUAUUGGUCAAUGGGCGCGAGCCUGAACCAGCCAAGUAGCGUGAAGGAUGAAGGCUCUAUGGGUCGUAAACUUCUUUUAUAUGGGAAUAAAGUUUUCCACGUGUGGAAUUUUGUAUGUACCAUAUGAAUAAGGAUCGGCUAACUCCGUGCCAGCAGCCGCGGUAAUACGGAGGAUCCGAGCGUUAUCCGGAUUUAUUGGGUUUAAAGGGAGCGUAGGUGGAUUGUUAAGUCAGUUGUGAAAGUUUGCGGCUCAACCGUAAAAUUGCAGUUGAAACUGGCAGUCUUGAGUACAGUAGAGGUGGGCGGAAUUCGUGGUGUAGCGGUGAAAUGCUUAGAUAUCACGAAGAACUCCGAUUGCGAAGGCAGCUCACUAGACUGUCACUGACACUGAUGCUCGAAAGUGUGGGUAUCAAACAGGAUUAGAUACCCUGGUAGUCCACACAGUAAACGAUGAAUACUCGCUGUUUGCGAUAUACAGUAAGCGGCCAAGCGAAAGCAUUAAGUAUUCCACCUGGGGAGUACGCCGGCAACGGUGAAACUCAAAGGAAUUGACGGGGGCCCGCACAAGCGGAGGAACAUGUGGUUUAAUUCGAAGCAACGCGAAGAACCUUACCAAGUCUUGACAUCCUGCGACGAUGCUGGAAACAGUAUUUUCCUUCGGGACGCAGAGACAGGUGGUGCAUGGUUGUCGUCAGCUCGUGCCGUGAGGUGUCGGCUUAAGUGCCAUAACGAGCGCAACCCUUAUCUUUAGUUACUAACAGGUCAUGCUGAGGACUCUAGAGAGACUGCCGUCGUAAGAUGUGAGGAAGGUGGGGAUGACGUCAAAUCAGCACGGCCCUUACGUCCGGGGCUACACACGUGUUACAAUGGGGGGUACAGAGGGCCGCUACCACGCGAGUGGAUGCCAAUCCCUAAAACCCCUCUCAGUUCGGACUGGAGUCUGCAACCCGACUCCACGAAGCUGGAUUCGCUAGUAAUCGCGCAUCAGCCACGGCGUGGUGAAUACGUUCCCGGGCCUUGUACACACCGCCCGUCACACCAUGAGAGUUGGAAAUACCCGAAGCCUGUGAGCUAACCUAUGAGGCAGCAGUCGAAGGUAGAGCCAAUGAUUGGGGUG
rnacentral:rRNA from 1 species